AUGGAUCGUCGACUACAUUAAAAAAUCGUGUUAUGUCUCCUCCCAUAACCGAUGUGGGACUAAACCGAACAGACGAUCCGCAUGCCGUGGCUCGAAGAGGUCGGAGCAGGGACCUGGCCGAGAGGAGGUGCGGAGGAGGUCGGAGCGGGGACCUGGCCGAGACGAGGCGCGGAGGAGGUCGGAGCAGGGACCUGACCGAGAGGAGGUCGGAAGAGGUCGGAGCAGGGACCAAGCGGAGAGGAGGCGCAGGGGAGGGGGCCCGGUGAGCCGCCGGACUGGAGCUCCCCAGCCGGAGCGCGGGCGCCGAGGAGAAACAGGCAUUGGAGGAGGCAGCGGGUGCGACGGCCUCCUGCGCAGGGGAGCCGGCCCCGAUCUUCCUCAUCUUGUUGCUUGUACUGGCGAGGUCGGACCCGAUCAUGUCUCCGUGCAGAGUUGGAUAGACCUUGGAUAGGACCAACUUAUCACCUCCUUCCAUGGCUCCCUCGUCCCAUGGCAGGGUGAGUUGUUGCAUUAGGUAUCCCAGGCGAAGCCUCUUCCCAUGGCCAUGGGGGCCGCUCACCUUGAACGAGAAGGUCUGUCGAUAACCUUGAAUGGAGCCGGAUAUGAGGGGAACGGGGGCUCGAUCAGAUGUCCAGAUCCCCCCGGGGACGCUUCUCCUGCUUCGGUGGUCAGUCGCCGUCGUGGAGUGGACGAUGUUUAUGAAGAAGACGGUCGUCCCCCGCGGUCGCAGGGGGGUAAGUCUCCACGACGUCUUGCGGGUGGAAUCGAUAGACAUCCACGCCCAGGUUGAUGUAGCGGGGGCAGCAUCCACGCGGGGUGGCCCCUCGCCCGGACGCGGAGCACCCCGAGGAGCACGAGGUGGCCGUCGUCCAUCGCCGGAGGAGGCAGCGGCCCUGGAG
rnacentral:lncRNA from 1 species